rnacentral:tRNA from 1 species
GCCCAGAUAGCUCAGAUGGUAGAGCACUCCCAUGGUAAGGGAGAGGUCAGCGGUUCAAGCCCGCUUCUGGGCUCAA